GACGAACGCUGGCGGCGAGCUUAACACAUGCCAGUCGAACGAAGUGGCGAACGGGUGAGUAACGCGUAAUCAACCUGCCCUUCAGAGGGGGACAACAGUUGGAAACGACUGCUAAUACCGCAUACUGAAGGAGGGGAUUGCGUCGGGUUAGCUAGGUGGAGGGGUAACGGCCCACCAAGGCGAUGAUCAGUAGCCGGUCUGGUGUGGUGGACGUCCACAAGUGGACUGGGACACGGCCCAGACUCCUACGGGAGGCAGCAGUGGGGAAUCUUCCGCAAUGGACGAAAGUCUGACGGAGCAACGCCGCGUGAGUGAUGACGGCCUUCGGGUUGUAAAGCUCUGUUAAUCGGGACGCGGUACCGGAAUAGAAAGCCACGGCUAACUACGUGCCAGCAGCCGCGGUAAUUC
rnacentral:rRNA from 1 species